ensembl:misc_RNA Metazoa_SRP Metazoan signal recognition particle RNA
GCUGGCCACAGUGGUGCAUGCCUGUAGUCCCAGCUACUCAGGAGGUUGAGGCUAGAGGAUUGCUUAAGUCCAGGAGUUCUGGGCUGUAGUGUGCUAUGCCAAUCGGGUGUCUGCACUAAGUUUGGCAUCAAUAUGGUGACCUACUGGGGACGGGGACCACCAGGUUGCCUAAGGAGGGGUAAACCGGCCCAGGUCGGAAACAGAGCAGGUCAAAACUCCUGUGCUGAUCAGUAGUGGGAUCGCGCCUGAAUAGCCACUGUACUCCAGCCUGGGCAACAUAGUGAAACCCCCAUCUCUU